rnacentral:lncRNA from 1 species
AGCCGUUAGGUUUUUUUCUCUGUGUCUAUUUCAUAGGAAUAUAGAUGCUAGAGGUAUGUUUGGUUUUACCCCUAUUUUGCCAUGCUAAAUUUUUGUUGAGAGAAAAUUACUCAAAACCACCACAUCUAGGGCACAUGUUUAGGAAAACCACCUUUUUUUUCUUUUAUUUUCAAAUUACCACCACUUUCUUGUUCCGUUGUACUCCCGCGCACUGAUUUCGCUGUUGAUCUCGUUUUGACGGAAAAACUGACAGGUAGGCCCACCUGUCGGUGCCACCGUGGUGCCACGCUGGACAAAGGGUGUGAACCGGCCGCUCCCUGUCCCUGUCUUUCUCAGACGAAGCUGCCGCCGCAACUCUCCGGGUCCUCCGCGACUUUCCCUCCGCCCACCCUUUCAGGC